GAGAGGUGUGAGGGGAAGUCAUGCGGAGGUGAACCUGAAUCAGCAGCAGCCUCAUCCUCUGCCAGCAAGUUCAGGCUCUAAGGCAGAAACAACGUGGCAGAGGGUGGCGCCUAGCAACUGCUGCUCAGUGCACGUCAACCAGGAAGGAGACAGGGGAGCAGCACACCGGAGCACAAGGCAACAGGAAGUGGAUGGAGGACCCGAGGCCACAGCUCCAUGACACAUGCAGAUUUGCCUAGAUCCUGAGUGGAUCCCAAAACGAAUCAAUUUGAAACUCCAUUCUACUGAGCGUGGGUAGACUUGUUUCCUGUUAUUCCUGAAACAAGACAAUAACCGCUAUUUGUGCAGUGUUUUCAAUGGUAAUAGGUAUUACAAGGAAUCUACAUAGGAUGUGUGGGAGGAUGUGGGCACGUUUUUUGCAAAUAUGAUGCCAUUUAUUUUAUAUAAGGGACUCAAGCAGCUGCACACCUUGGUAUGGCCACCUGGUGUGUGUGCGUUUGUGUCCUGGAAUUAAUCUCCAGAUGACACCUAUGAAUGACUAUAUUUAAAACAAUGUAUGUUUAAAACACAGAACUAGGGCACUUCCUAAAUGACCUCUCCCCAUACAUAA